CAAGGGGUAGUUUAAUUAAAAUUUUAAUUUUGGAGAUUAAAGAUAGAGAGUAAUCUUUUUCCUUGA
rnacentral:tRNA from 1 species